rnacentral:lncRNA from 1 species
CCACCUCUCUAAGCUUUCUGAAUCAGAUUAAGGUGUUGAAUUCAUGGGGGUCUGCAGAACUUUCGGUGGAUUCCAGAUUCCAUGCAGGCUUAGUCACAGCCACUGGCCCUUAUAGACGGUUGACUCUACUGUCUUUGCCAAAUCCAAACCUCUUCAAACGUGUUCUCUAACCCCCACAACUGUAAAGCUGAAGUGACACCAAACCUGGAAUUUACUCAUAUUAUACUAGAUACUAUUUAGCAUUAAUCAAAACAUACCGACAACACACUCACUAUAGGUUUCUGUAAACUUAAUAUGUUUAUAAGCAAAGCAAAAGCUAAAUAUGGUUGGGAAUCACAAAGUUACAGCACAGAUUUAUGUACUUUUU